ensembl:lncRNA
CACUAAGCCUGGUAUAGCGUUUCGGAGCAGUAUUGGAGAUAGUGUGGGUUAAGUGCACUGCGCUUUGGCAUUAUUAAGACUUGUGCACACACUGUCACGUACACACGCUCUCAAGUGGCCAAGACCGCAAGUGUGGGUAUUUGGACAGGGUAAAAAGUAUUAAAAAAAUGCCCCAUUAGUAAGAACUCUAAACAUAGUCACACAUCAAAGUCUUAAUAAUUCAGUAAUUCAGUUUAACACUUGUAUGAUAUUGUACAAGCCCCAGGACAAUCUCAUCUGACACUAUCACAAUAUUGCUAAAUCAGUUGCGCUCUUCUUGGAAAGCAGUCAAAUGCCCCAAACAGUCAGAAAGUUUUUAUUGUCCAUUGGCUUCUUAAUAAAUUACCGGUACUUCAAAUAAGCCCCAUCAGUUUAUGUUCCAACUAUACAUGAUAUCUCUCUGCACCUCGUCAUUUAUGUUUCCACAAGUGGAAAUGCUAGUUUGAUGUGUCACGUGAUAUAUCAAAUCUUUGAUUAAUUUGUCAGAACCAGAUCAAUUACACUACUGAUAACAGUCCUGAAAGCAUGUAAUCAUUUUUAAAAGAAUUCAUAUGAACUUGCUUUUAAUAAUGGAUGCAUUUAACAUUUAAUUAUACAGCAUCUUUGCAGAGGCUGCUUUCAUGGUCUAAACCCCCCCCCCCCCACUGUAAUGUAUAUAAGUUGCAUGUAAUGUAAUAAUAUUUCCUUCCUUUCUGUCUUACAGGAUUGCUUGCAGAUAAUGCUGUUCUUCUUUUUCAGGUCUACAACAUCGAGCUCAACAGAUCUUUUAAGAGCCAACCCUCACAAACCUUGCUCUCAGCGAAUCUUGCCAUGAUCAGCCCUUUCCAGAAGAGAAGAUCAAGGAAAUUAUUUGUUCAGGAUGAGGAAUGAAGACGGCCAUCUUGUGCCCAAACGAAGACAGAAAGCUGUCCACUGAUGAUCUCAUCAGCCAAAUGAGGGGUUUUGACCAAGUGAUGGUCUUGAAAGGAAUGAAAGAAGAGGAUGUGGUAAAUUGUCUUCAAAGAAAAAGCUUCUCAAAAGGUCUUAAAACAGCUUGAAGAAUGGUCUGGGAACUGUCUGAAAAUGGGAUGUUAGGACUGAGAGAUCCUCUGGCUGAGAAAAAGCUACACCAGAUCAGUGCUGGAUAUCAACCACAAACUGUUUCCAGACACGAGAGAAGAAGAUCAUGAUGGGGAAAUGAAACCAGUUUAGAUGUGAUGAUAAGGAAUCAUUAUUUUCUGAAACAGUAUCACAUGUCUUAUAUGUAUCACAUGAUCUGUAUCACAGUUGCCUGGAUGGGAUUGUGUGACUUUUUAAGGACAUUUCAUUACUCAUCUGUGUGAACUGAUUAAUUUAUGAUAUUAAUGAAUUAAUUUUUGAUGAUCCAUUAUUAUUUUCCUUGAAUCUUAUUUGUCUUGAUGCUACUUUAUCAACUUUAUAGUCUAUGCUUCAA